UCUAAUAUGGCAGAUUAGUGCAAUGGAUUUAAGCUCCAUAAAUAAAGUUUUCGACUUUUUUUAGAA
rnacentral:tRNA from 1 species